CGACCGGUCCGGGCAGUCGCGGGCGCGAGUGCCGCAAGGCCGCGCUCGAGGAAAGUCCGGACUCCAAAGGGCAGGGUGCUGGGUAACGCCCAGUCGGGGCGACCCGAAGGAAAGUGCCACAGAGACAUACCGCCGGCCGGGUCUACAGGCUUGAUGACCGGGAGCCAGGCAAACGUCUGGCAAGGUGAACGGAUCCCUUGCCCGGUCGGUAAGGGUGAAAAGGUGGUGUAAGAGACCACCGGCGGACGGGCGACCGUCCGGCCAGGUAAACCCCACCCGGAGCAAGGCCGAAUAGGAGGGGGAUGAGGCGGCCCGCCUACCCCUCGGGUUGGCUGCUCGAGGCGCCGGGUGACCGGCGUCCAAGACAGAUGACUGCCCUCGACAGAAUCCGGCUUACAGGACCGGUAGCGGC
rnacentral:RNase_P_RNA from 1 species